rnacentral:rRNA from 1 species
CCUACGGGUGGCUGCAGUGGGGAAUAUUGCACAAUGGGCGCAAGCCUGAUGCAGCCAUGCCGCGUGUGUGAAGAAGGCCUUCGGGUUGUAAAGCACUUUCAGCGGGGAGGAAGGCGUUAAGGUUAAUAACCUUGGCGAUUGACGUUACCCGCAGAAGAAGCACCGGCUAACUCCGUGCCAGCAGCCGCGGUAAUACGGAGGGUGCAAGCGUUAAUCGGAAUUACUGGGCAGUAAAGCGCACGCAGGCGGUCUGUCAAGUCGGAUGUGAAAUCCCCGGGCUCAACCUGGGAACUGCAUUCGAAACUGGCAGGCUAGAGUCUUGUAGAGGGGGGUAGAAUUCCAGGUGUAGCGGUGAAAUGCGUAGAGAUCUGAAGGAAUACCGGUGGCGAAGGCGGCCCCCUGGACAAAGACUGACGCUCAGGUGCGAAAGCGUGGGGAGCAAACAGGAUUAGAUACCCUAGUAGUC